GAUGAACGCUGACAGAAUGCUUAACACAUGCAAGUCAACUGUGGCGGACGGGUGAGUAACGCGUAAAGAACUUGCCUCACAGAUAGGGACAACAUUUGGAAACGAAUGCUAAUACCUGAUACUGUGAGAGAGCUUUGCGUCCCAUUAGCUAGUUGGAGAGGUAACGGCUCACCAAGGCGAGGAUGGGUAGCCUGACUGAGAGGGUGAUCGGCCACAAGGGGACUGAGACACGGCACUGACUCAUACGGGAUGCAGAAGUGGGGAAUAGUGGACAAUGGACCAAAGUCUGAUCCAGAACUUCUGUGUGCAAGAUGAAGUUUUCGGAAUGUAAAGUGCUUUAAGCUGGGAAGCAGUACCAACAGAAGAAGUGGCGGCUAAAUACGUGCCAGCAGCCGCGGUAAUAC
rnacentral:rRNA from 1 species